AAUCGAUUCCUCUUCACCGGUCCUAAAUAUCAAAUUGGAAUUAUAAUUCGAUACAUAGGUGUGAUACAGAUUUCGGGCUUCGUCCUCCUUCUGCCCGAGAUCGAAGUUGCUCAACCCAAAGAGAAUGUUUACUUUUCGGCUGAUCUUCGACAGCAAUACCAAAACUGAAAUCGUUUUCGUGGAAUGCUUGAGACCUUCGAGAACUUGUAAAGCCUGAUUCUUUUUGCUCAAUAAAACGUCGCGGUUUUUUAUAUUGACGUCUAAUCGCAUUAGCAAAGCUGCUUUAUGCUCGGAUUGAUCUUCAAGUCUGCGAUAGCAAGAAGGAAACAUUUUGCAAACGAUUAUCGAUCUUGAACAUAAACCGAUGAGAAAAUUAUAUACGGAAAUCAAAAUAGAAUACCUUGACAGCAAGUCAUGAUACGAACGUACGAGUAGAGCUUCUUUCACUUCAGUACAAAUAUCUUCCAAACGUACUAAUUGAUUUUCUAAUAUUUUGUUGGCGGACACAUCGAUAUCUUUUUUUAUGAAAAGGUGAACGCUCUGAAAAUUACAAAUAUUAUUCUCACAAACAUCUUUUUCACAAUUUUUACACGAGGAGGAUCUAAGCAGUUCGAUCUUAUCUACUCACCUCAACGCGCACCAAUGAUUGUGCAUAAGCCCACAAAUCCUUUACUUGGGCAUCUACAGUACUCAACAUUUGUUCUCUAAUUUUCAUGUUACGCCAAACGACUCGGGACAUUCGUUUAUACUUCUGUCUAAUAUCGUCAAGAUUUUCCGCCGCCAGUUGACCCAUCACCGUUACUUUUAACAUCGCUUUGCAUUGAGAAUAUUGGUCUUCUUUCAAAAUGUUCAACAAAGUAUCGAAAAAUAUCGUGUCCUACAUAGAUUUUGUAGGAAUAAGAACGAUACAUAAAAGGUUUUUGAAUUAUUAGAUUGUUUUGAUUAUUAGAUUGAUUUACGUUUUGUUACUUUACAGUGAUACAUAUUACGAAAAUAGAGAUACUAUUUUCGGAAUAUGUGUCACUGUAUUUAAUAAUGCGACAGUUAAAAAUUUACUUUUUUCAGGAUGUUCAGCAUCGACCAAUACGUAGAAUGUAUAUCUUUCGCCGCAUUAUGUUUCGCGAUGGAUCGCUGUAAUUGCGCUACUAACCGUUGCUGCUCGCAAUUCGAUAGAUACUCGCUUUGCUCUUCGAGUUCGGUUGAAAGAACGUUGUACUCCAGCUUGUCAUCAAACGAGCAUAUCUUUACUCUAUUGCUCAAAGUUAACGCAAAACAUGUACACGAAUCUUAAUAUUACAUACUGAGUACAUAAGGAGGACGUUAUAAUAUUACAAUAUAUUGAUACACGUUUUAAUGAGUUUAUAUAAUCUUAUAUAUAAAAAAUUAUAUAUGCUUAAAUACGAAAUACUUUUAUAUCGCAUAAAGAUCAGGUUCUACCUGUAAUUCGAUACCUCGCUUCAAUGCUCUUUUUUUUUCGUAGUAGAGCUUGUCCAAGAGUCGACGUUUCAAAUUGCAAUCUUGAUAUAUUGCCGUAUAAAUUUCCUACGAAGCAAGAUUUCUGUAUUACACUGCAUUCCAGAAUUACAGAAUUUUUUUUUUUUUUUUAAUUCAAAGGCAAUGUUGGUUUAUUCUUACGGAUGGUGUCAGGCGAUUGAACGCCAAGUAAAAUCUUCUGUAAUCAGCCAGCACUCUGAGGACAUUCGGUUUACCAUCAUCGCGAAGGUCAUUGACAAUUUCACGAUGUCUCUUAAUAUCUACUUCUAGGGAUGUGACCUUUCUUGAUACUAUUGAUUUCAGUCUCGUCGCUUGCGAUAACUGUAGCUUCUUAUCAAGUGCUAGAUAUAUUACAGCAAUCAGGUAUUUAUAGAAUCUAUAUUCUUUACUUGAGCUACUUUAAAAAGAGUUGCAUCUCAUAAAUGUGGUAAGGGAUUCUUGCGCAAUAUUUUAUUUUAUCUAAAAAAUUCUAUUCUAGCUAUUGCAUUUCUCGCAUUAUUUCAAAAAGAAUUGUAUCUCAUAAAUGUUGGAAGGGAUUCUUGCACAAUAUUUUAUCUUAGCUAAAAAAAAUUCUAUUUUAGUUAUUGCAAUAGAAACAGUAACGUCACAAUUACAUAUUGCGACGUUAAUUUUGUAAAAACGAUUCUCUAAUAUUGUACAUUUCAUAUAAUUUAUUUUAAAUGUAAAAUGGCUAUAAUCUUAUAAUGUUAAUGUUCUAAAUACCUAUCUAUUACUCUGUCUGGUUAAAUUAAAAGUAGAACGAGUAGAGUAUGUCCCGAUUUGUAUAGAGGACAAAUAAUUGAUUAAUUAAUUUUAAACAAUGCUUAACUGUGCAGCUUUAAAAUUCCACGAUAUCGACUUAUUUUGUCCCUGAUGAGCCAUCUCUGCACUUGUAUUUCUUUAGGAGUUUUCGUACGACCCAUUUCCCUGUUCCUUGAUCUUUGAUGGAUUGCGGCAUCGAGUAUUAAGUCACAUCACACGCAAGCGAGGAAACUGUCAUUGACUGUCAUUAGGCGAUUAAUUACGCGCUGCAUUCCAUUUUAUUGUGGCAACGAGAGUGGUAACUAUGUCAGCUUCUUAAUACUUUAAUACUCGUUUAACAUCUACCCAGUAGCAGAAAGAAACGACAUCGCGCUUACACAUUAAAAAUAAGUGGAAAUGAUCGUGAAAAAAUAUUUAUUAAGAGCGUGUUAAGAAAAAGGGAUUUGUUUUUAUUAAAAUCGUUGUACGUCUGGAAGAGAAUUAUAAACAAAAUACUGGUCGUUUCAUGUUCUACAUUUAACGCAAAUUGCUCCUUCCAGGAGAGAAGGGUGAUCUACUGAUUAUUUGUCGAUUUGUUCGAUAUAUCGUAACUCUAACUAUAUUCAUCGCUUGAUAUUAACUUUACGUAACGUAUCUACCCUUUGAAACAAAGUGUGUGCCUGACGCGAGUUUCCACGUCUCUCUUAGUAUUGAUGCACGUUUGCUACCCGUAUAAUGAAUAUCGAAUGUUCUUUGUCAUGUAAGAUAAAAUAGCACGGCAGUCCGUGAGAGGCUCUCAGGAGUGUUCAACAAUCCGUUUUUGCUCUUACACCUCUUUGUAAGAUCGACAAGGUGGUGGCGGUGCGCUCCAAAUGCCAUUUUCCCGACAGGAUGGCUUUUUUACUGGUUCCAAGGGAGUCACAUAGCCAGAUGAAAAUUUAUUCACCUGUAUGUUGUCUCCCGGUUUGUACCAAAACUUGAGAGGCGCUAUUCGGCCAUGAGGAGGAUCACCUGGAUAAGGGCAUCUUACUUUACCUGAAAUUUGUACAGACACUCACAUACGGGCGGAUCAUGAGUCCAAGUGCCGUUUUCGGUGCAUAUGGUGGCCGCUUCUCCUAUCAGUUGGUGACCCGGUUGACAGGCGAAUCGCACUAAAGCGCCAACUUU